UAGGGAAUCUUCCGCAAUGGGCGAAAGCCUGACGGAGCAACGCCGCGUGAGUGAUGAAGGUCUUCGGAUCGUAAAACUCUGUUAUUAGGGAAGAACAUACAUGUAAGUAACUAUGCACGUCUUGACGGUACCUAAUCAGAAAGCCACGGCUAACUACGUGCCAGCAGCCGCGGUAAUACGUAGGUGGCAAGCGUUAUCCGGAAUUAUUGGGCGUAAAGCGCGCGUAGGCGGUUUUUUAAGUCUGAUGUGAAAGCCCACGGCUCAACCGUGGAGGGUCAUUGGAAACUGGAAAACUUGAGUGCAGAAGAGGAAAGUGGAAUUCCAUGUGUAGCGGUGAAAUGCGCAGAGAUAUGGAGGAACACCAGUGGCGAAGGCGACUUUCUGGUCUGUAACUGACGCUGAUGUGCGAAAGCGUGGGGAUCAAACAGG
rnacentral:rRNA from 1 species